GUCUCAUCCAGGUCCACAUCAGCCUACCGCUAUGACUUUGUGUGUGUGCGUGUGGUGUGAAAGAAGAGGCAGAAACCGAGACUGAGGCAGCCUGCUGCUGGCACAGAGCUCAUGCAGGCACACAUAUGGUUGUCUUAAAUUGACUGACAGGACCCCUUUCAUGUGUGCUGCCCUGCACGCUGGAUGCCAUCAGCCACAUUUAAACGCCGUUGGCUGACAGUGAGAGGGUUACUGAAGGAGAGAAGUCGGAAAGGAAGGGAGGGAAGACUGAUGGAGUGAUGCACCGAACAAAAAAAGCAAUAUUUCUCACCUGACUGCAUCAGCCUUUGUGGCUCCCAAAAGUCACUUGUCAAGAACAAAGUAGCCUGACUACGAUGUUCUCCAGCUAUAUCAGUAUAAUGUGACUUGUGCUGAAACACUGAGAUGAGCUCUUCUGGAAGAAACUCAUUGUCACCAAGCGAGCCUCUCUCGAGUGACAAAAACAAAUCUUGAGGCAAGCAUGCGUCCUACACAAGCGAGACCUACACAAGCAAGAGUGAGAAAAGGUGCUAACGAAUACAGUAUCUGAGUAAAUUGAAGUGUUUUGAAGGGUUUAAAAAUAUUCAAGAUAUGAUGUAGGUGUAUAACUGUUUAAAAAUAUUUUUGUAAUGUUUCUAAAUCAG